rnacentral:rRNA from 1 species
GACAGAGGUCUCGAGCGUUAGGCGGAAUCACUGGGCUUAAAGCGUGUGUAGGCGGACUUGUAAGUACCUUGUGAAAUCCCACGGCUCAACCGUGGAACUGCUUGGUAUACUGCUUGUCUUGGGCCAUCUAGGGGUUACCGGAACAAACGGUGGAGCGGUGAAAUGCGUAGAUAUCAGGAGGAACACCCGUAGCGAAGGCGGCACUCUGGGCCGAUACUGACACUGAGGAGCGAAAGCGUGGGGAGCAAACAGG